CCUACGGGUGGCAGCAGUGAGGAAUAUUGGUCGAUGGGCGAGAGUCUGAACCAGCCACGCAGCGUGAGGGAUGAAUGCUCUCUGUGUUGUAAACUUCUUUUAUAUGGGAAUAAAACAGGGUAUGCAUCCCAUCUUGUAUGUCCCAUAUGAAUACGGAUCGGCUAACUCCGUGCCAGCAGCCGCGGUCAUACGGAGGAGCCGAGCGUUAUCCGGAUUUAUUGGGUGUACAGGGCGCGUAGGUGGAUUGGUAAGUCAGUUGUGAAAGGGUGCGGCUCAACCCUAAAAUUGCAUUUGAAACUGGAAGGCUAGAGUGCAGGAGAGGUGGGCGGAAUGCGUGGUGUAGCGGUGAAAUGCGUAGAUAUUACGAAGAACUCCGGUUGCGAAGGCGGCCCACUGGAC
rnacentral:rRNA from 1 species